CCCCUGUAUACUGGACCUUGUGGAGCAGGCCUGCUGUGUGUAUACAGGCCCGGACACCACCAGUAUGGAAGACUUACCUGCCCAGUGCCCACUGCUCAUGCUGCCCUUUUAAAGUUGUGAAUGCAAAACACACUGAAGAGACUGCAGCCGGCGCGCACCUCCUUGUACAGCUUACGGUGACAUCAUCACAAGCAUGUGUGACAUCACAGGGUUCUAAACCAUCUUCAGUUGUUCUAACAGUGCCUGGUUCCCCUGCCCCCUGGUCCUCAUGUCAACAUGGAGUAAAUGCCCUCUGAUCAUCACUGGCAGAUAAUCGCUGUGGCCUGUGAUUGCCUGGGUUGACAUUUCCUGAAUGUCCUGAUGGGGAUCUGGAAGCAGUGAGCAGCAGGAGCCAGGGCAUCAGCAGAAUGGAUGGAAGCAGAGGAUGGGCCGGUUGACCAUUCUUUAUUAUUUUUUUAAACCCUGUGACCUUUUUUAAGA